rnacentral:lncRNA from 1 species
AUGUCCCCCACAGAAAAUUCCUUCCUCCACUGCUUAAAAGAGCCAAGGUCCUUGGGUUCUAGAUGGGAAGAAAUGGUCACUGAAUAUUUUACUGAGGAGGAAAUUUACUUCUCCCUAACUGAGAAAGGAUAUACAAAAAGGAUAUACAACAAGGAAAUAGCAGCAUUGAGCUUUUCAGAAUGCAACUCCCUUUGUCUCUGCAAGGAAAUUCAUCUGGAUUGCAAGUUAUCUGAGUAUAGUGUAUUGUAUGGUGUCCCAUUCCUACGAAGUGUGAGAGUCAUAGAUACCACAUUGUUAAGUUUUUGUUGAACCUAAAAUAGGAACCUGAGUAAUAGAAGUUGGGGGUAAUAAAUUUUCAAGAAGGGAUUUAUAUUAUAACA